rnacentral:rRNA from 1 species
CAGCCGCCACGGUAAUACGGAGGGUGCGAGCGUUAAUCAGAAUAACUGGGCGUAAAGGGCACGCAGGCGGUGACUUAAGUGAGGUGUGAAAGCCCCGGGCUUAACCUGGGAAUUGCAUUUCAUACUGGGUCGCUAGAGUACUUUAGGGAGGGGUAGAAUUCCACGUGUAGCGGUGAAAUGCGUAGAGAUGUGGAGGAAUACCGAAGGCGAAGGCAGCCCCUUGGGAAUGUACUGACGCUCAUGUGCGAAAGCGUGGGGAGCAAACAGGAUUAGAUACCCCUGUAGUCCCUGUCUCUUAUAA